AAAAAAACCCUUGUUCAAAGAGUAAAAGAGAAAAGGAAAACAUCUGCCCUGUAAUUCAGAUUUUACUUGGAAAUCACUGGCUUCAUUCUUGACAAAAAGUGAAAAAUUCUCUGCAUUAAUAUGUAAAUUUUAACAGAUCUCAGGCCAGGGCAGUGUAUUUGUUACAGAUUACUGCAUACCAAGUAACCACAACCUUAGUGGCUUAAAACAACCCACACCAAGUAUCUCACGGUUGAAUUCUCAUGAGCUGACAACUCAGCCACAGCUUGCCUGGGUCCUCAGCCUCCGAAUCUCUCACACUGAGAUUGACUGAGAUGCCUGCCAGAGCUUCUGCAUCGCUCACACUCAGAUUGACUGAGAUGCCUGUCAGAGCUUCAGACUCUCUCACUCUGAGAUUGAUUGAGAAACCUGCCAGAGCUUCAUAAUCUCUCACUCUGAGAUUGACUGAGAUGCCUGCCGGGGCUGUGGCUUCUCUGGAGGCUCUACUGGGGAAGGAACUGCUUGCAAGCUCACGUGGCUGUUGAUGGGGUUCAGUUCCUCGUUAGCUUGGGACGACGCCACUCUCCCCAUCCCUUGCCCUUUGGGCCUCUUUAACAUGGCAGCUUUCUUCAUUAAAGCCUGCAAGGGAGAGAGGCUGCUAGAAAGACAGAAGUCAUUGUCUUAAGCAACCUAGUCACAGACGGAACCUCCCAUCGCCUUUGCUGUUCUCCCUCGGUCACAAAAAGAGAACAUGCCAGGCGUGUUUUGGAAGCGUCACAUAAAUAAGGAGUCAGGCUGCACAGCUGGAUGGGAGAGGAGCAAGAUUAUAAAGCUGAGCUUGAAUUGGAAAUCGGAAGCUCAUAUGGAUCGACUGUCAUGUGGCUACUAAGUGACGGAAGCCAGAUUUGAGCUCGAGGUGGCCUCACCCCAAAGCCUGUCUCUCCAGUUUCCAUGUCUUCACCUCCUUUUGGGUUGACAGGUGCAAGGAGAAUCUGCUCUGUGCUGAUGGGUAGUAUCUGCCCCAAGAGGGUCGUUUUAAGACAGGACCAAGGCUUUGAGUUUACGUGUUUAGGUUUAGGGUCUGGGGUUUAUUUGGUGUUUGCUUAUCCAUCCAUUUAUUCACACAUUUAUCUCAAAUCUUUACUGAGCACCUCACGUGUGCAUAUCCCCCGCUAAAUGCUAGGACCUCAAGAUCGGUGAACAUCUGACCCUUUUUAUCCACAGUGGCUCAAAAGCGCUCUGUGGGACCCAGGCCAACUUCUUCUCUUUCCCCUAAUCAGCAUGUAUAAUCCCUUCUCUCUUCCUUCAUCCUAAAUGCUAAAACCCCUGUGCCUAAGGGCAAGAAAACACACCAAUCUGUCAAGUUGAAGGUCAGGAAAUAUUUGCUUCCUCGGUCUCCAUUCAGCGACCCCCACCCCUGCUACCCGUAUGGACGGAACGGUCUAGGAUGUGAGUGAAAAUGCUGGCAAUGCUUAGCUCUGUGCAGCGGAACCAUAGAUGGUUUUUAUGUCUUUUUACUCACCUUGAUUUUAAACGUUUUCUAUCGGUGCCAUAACAAAACUUCUGAAAGAGCUAGAAUUUGUCAGUCUUCACUUCCCUGCCCGCGCCCGAGGCUGUCUCUGCGAAAAGGGACGGAGCCUGUCCCUGUGUGCCAACCAUUGAUCCUGCCCACCCCAGGUUCUAUUUCUGCUCAGCCUGUGCCCUGUGAUCAGCUGGGCGUCCAGUGAAAAGCAGGAGCCUGUGAAAGAGUAGUGAGUGCUCUGAGCACGAACUGUAUUUUAGGGAGUGUGAAAGGAGAAGGGCAGCCGGGUGUCAUCUGAGUGAAAAGGGAGCCUGCUUCCUCAUCCGCUGUGACAUCACCGCCCAUCCAGUGGAACCCAUGGCGAUGCGUUUCUGAUGCCAAGCGGUGGUUGCCUGAAAGCUGCAACUAAGAGGAAGGUAGGACAAUGGAGAGGUAGCUGGAAGGAACGCGUCAUCCAGGACGAGUGUGAAACGCUGGAUCCGGGCGUAGUUCAAACUGGACCCUGCGGGGGACAUGAUGGAGGCCACACUGGUGCCACUGUCCCAGGUAUAAUUGACAUCAAAUUGCUGUAGUUUCUGGCGUACAAUGUAAUGACUCCACGUUUGCCCACAUUGUGAAAUGAUCACCACAGUAACUCCAGUCACCAUGCAUCGCUGUGCAUACGUGCAGAAACAGUCUUCCUUUUCUUGCGACGAAGACUUCUAAUAGUUUUUCUCUUAAUAACUUUGGAAUAUGCAAUACAGGAGUAUUAACUAUAGUCACCAUGCUGUCCGCUACAUUCCCGUGACUUAUUUAUUUUACAAAUGGAAAUUUGUAGCUUUUGACCCCCUUCACCUGUCUCACCCGUCCCCAGGCCCCUCCCCUCUUUAAGCACCAAUCUAGUCUCUGUAUCUAUGAGCUUGGCUUUUUGUUUUCCUUUUCUCAGAUUCCAAAUGGCCUAAUAAUUUGUCAUGUAUUUUAAUGUACUAUUAAUGACAUGUAAAAGAAUAACUUAAAAAGUCUGUUAUUAUAAAAUAAUUAAACAGAACACAGGUGACGUUGUCAUUGACAAAAUAUCAAUUUUCUUUUAUGUGUCAUAAAUGCAUGGCUAGAAAGAAUACUGCAUGCGCAUUCUAAUGUUUUAAGUUAUGCCUGUGAUUUUCAAAAUUGAAUUAAUAAAAGCACAGAAAUUUA